AGGACGAACGCUGGCGGCGUGCUUAACACAUGCAAGUCGAGCGGAAAGGCCCUUCGGGGUACUCGAGCGGCGAACGGGUGAGUAACACGUGAGUAAUCUGCCCCUAGCUCUGGGAUAGCUCCGGGAAAACCGGGAUUAAUACCAGAUACGACCACUUUAGACAUCUUCUGUGGUGGAAAGAACUUCGGCUAGGGAUGAACUCGCGGCCUAUCAGCUUGUUGGUGAGGUAACGGCUCACCAAGGCGACGACGGGUAGCCGGCCUGAGAGGGCGACCGGCCACACUGGGACUGAGACACGGCCCAGACUCCUACGGGAGGCAGCAGUGGGGAAUAUUGCGCAAUGGGCGAAAGCCUGACGCAGCGACGCCGCGUGGGGGAUGAAGGCCUUCGGGUUGUAAACCCCUUUCAGCAGGGACGAAGCGAAAGUGACGGUACCUGCAGAAGAAGCGCCGGCUAACUACGCGCCAGCAGCCGC
rnacentral:rRNA from 1 species